AUGAACAAAGUUCUAUUCAAAGAUGCAAAAGAUACCAAUAUGCUUUCAUUACAAAGUCACUCGAGAUUUAUUAACCAUAUAGGCCAUGGAUUCAAGUAUUUCAUUCAAUUGAAGAUUGAAACUCAAACACCUCUAGAUUCGUUCAAGUCUAGUUCUUUGAAAUUCAAGAAACAAGGAAAAUUGUUCAUUUUAGUUACAAGACAUUACAUCAAGAAAUCGUACAUAAAACCUAUGCCUAAUCCUAAACCUAAUGGCUACCAUUUUGGUGCUUCCAUAUUCACCAAUUCAUGUCCAUAA